rnacentral:lncRNA from 1 species
CUUCCUUUUGUGGUCAUAAACCUUGUGUUAAAAUUUCAUAGAUUUCCAUUCACUUUUACUAAAGUUAGAGUGCGAAAACUAAAAGUAUUCGGACGCCGGACGACGACGACGACGACGACGCAGACGCCAACGUGAUAGCAAUAUACGACGAAAAAUUUUUCAAAUUUUGCGGUCGUAUAAAAAGAAGAGUUUGUGAAUGCAAUUAGAGAAUUCAAUUUGCAUUCCAUUCGAAUAGAUUCGAAUUCUGCAUUAAAUUCGAAUAGAUUCCAAUUCUAUUCGAAUUAAAUGUACGUGUGAACAAGGCACGAGAGUGGUCUCAUUGUGGCAAUCAGACCACAUCUUCUUAUUUUCAUAUUAAUUGUUUUUUGGAAAUUGUCACAUCAGAAUAAAACAAAUUAAUUACUGUAAUUGUAAAAUAAAAGUUUUGUUUGAUAAAUACAAAUUACAAUUAAUGAUCAAGAAAAUUACUAAACAACAUUGUUAUUUCAUCGUUGUCCUGGUUAUAAAUGUAUAAAUUUUGAAUAUCAAAACUCACAUAGCAUAAAACAUUCAAACUUCACAUAUUUUCUUACCAAAAUUUGGCAAAAAUCUGAAAAAAUUAUGCUCAACUAUUAGAAUCAAAAUUUAACAACCAUUCAAAGAAAUCAUCUCUAUUCUGAAGGUAACAUUGAGAAUGGAAAUAGGGAAUGUGUCAAAGAGACAACAACCCAACCAUAGAGCAGACAACAGCCAAAGGUCACCAAUUGGUCUUCAAUGCAGAGAGAAACUUCUGCACCCAAAGGCUUCCUUCAGCUGGCCCCUAAACAAAUAUGUAUACAAGUUCAGUGAUAAUUGCUUUUCUCAACCUAAUAAACUGAACACCAGGCUAAGUAUUAUGUUAGUUUGUUAAAGUCAAACAAAUCAACUAAAACUAUACAAAAGUUUAUCUAUUUAUGUUAAAGCACAACAAAUAUCACAUCUAUUUCAUAAUAUGAAGUAAAAACAUUUUAUCGAAAACAAGAACCAAUUAUAGAAUGACAAGUUAAAUGAUGCACA